GAUGAACGCUAGCGGCAGGCCUAAUACAUGCAAGUCGGACGGGAUUCAGGAGCUUGCUUCUGAUGAUAGUGGCGCACGGGUGCGUAACACGUAUGUAACCUACCUUUAUCAGGUGGAUAUCCUCUCGAAAGAGAGAUUAAGCCCGCAUAAAAUCACAGCACAGCAUUGUGUAAUGAUCAAAUAUUUAUAGGAUAAAGAUGGGCAUGCGGGACAUUAGCUAUAUGGCUGGGUAACUGCCCACCAUGGCGGCGAUGUUUAGGGGAUCUGAGAGGAUUGCCCCUGAAACGGGUACUGGCAAAAGGACCAGACUGCUAAGGGAGGCAGUGGUAAGGAAGAUUGCUGAAGGGUAGGAAGCCUGAACCAGCCAUGCCGCGUGCAGGAACACGGCAUUAGGGGUGGUAAACUGCUUUUAUAAGGGAAUAAACGCAGAUAAGUGUAUCUGGCUGAAUGUACUGUAAGAAUAAGGAGCGGCUAACUCCGUG
rnacentral:rRNA from 1 species